UUUCCCUACGGGGCGCAGCAGUGGGGAAUAUUGGGCAAUGGGCGCAAGCCUGAACCAGCAACGCCGCGUGAAGGAAGAAGGCCCUCGGGUUGUAAACUUCUUUUAUUCGGGACGAAACAAAUGACGGUACCGAAUGAAUAAGCCACGGCUAACUACGUGCCAGCAGCCGCGGUAAUACGUAGGUGGCAAGCGUUAUCCGGAUUUACUGGGUGUAAAGGGCGUGUAGGCGGGAGAGCAAGUCAGACGUGAAAUUCCAGGGCUCAACCCUGGAAAUGCGUUUGAAACUGUUCGUC
rnacentral:rRNA from 1 species